UUUAACAUUGUUGUUUGUAAACAAUUUUUUUAUGAAAAUGAUGUUGUUUUAAAUGACGCGUCAUUGGUUGUCCUAUUUAGUAUAAAAGCGCAUUAUUCCCAUUUAUAUUGCAUCAAAAGAGCGUUCGUUCAAACAAGUAUAUCUUUUUGUUGAAGAAAAGGUUGAAUCAAGGUCUUAAUUACUAUUAAGAAAGGAACAUCGAUAUUAGACACAAAAUAUGAGUUGGGGUAAUUCUUGGAGCAGCGGCUCUGCCGGUAGUGGAUGGGGAAAUUCUGGGAAGGACUCGGAUAACAAUAAAGAACCUGAAGGUCAGCACAUAUCUUCAUGUAUAGCUGGCGCAGGACCCUGGGGACAUAAUGGCCUUAUGAGUGGAUGUUACGACGAACAUUGCUCUGGUUGCCGUCAUGAUAGAGCUGGGUCAACAUGGAGUGGCUCUAAAUCUGGAAUUAAUAUGGCUGUUAAAUUAGCAGCAUUCCUCGGAAUGGGAGUUGCUACUAAAAAAGGAAUUUGGGACUGAGGCGAAUAUAUUGGUUUGGAAACAUAUGCCAAAUACUGGUAUUGAAAUGUUUAAGUGGUUGAUAAAAAUAAUCAGCUAAAUUAAAUGAGAAACAUAUA